rnacentral:rRNA from 1 species
GAUGAACGCUGGCGGCGUGCCUAAUACAUGCAAGUCGAGCGAACGGACGAGAAGCUUGCUUCUUUGACGUUAGCGGCGCACGGGUGUGUAACAUGUGGAUAACCUACCUAUAAGUCUGGGAAAACUUCGGGAAACCGGAGCUAAUACCGGAGAAUAUUUUGAACCGCAUGGUUCAAAAGUGAAAGACGGUCUUGUUGGCUGUUGUAGAUGGAUCUGCGCUGCAUGAGCUGGUUGGUGAGGUAACGGCUUACCAAGGCAUUGAUGGGUAGCCGGGCUGAGAGGGUGACCGGCCACAUUGGGAGUGAGAUACGGCCCAGACUCCUACGGGAGGCAGCAGUGGGGAAUAUUGCACAAUGGGCGGAAGCCUGAUGCAGCAACGCCGCGUGCGGGAUGACGGCUUUCGGGUUGUAAACCGCUUUCGCAUGUGACGAAGCGUGAGUGACGGUAAUGGGUAAAGAAGCACCGGCUAACUACGUG